rnacentral:lncRNA from 1 species
GAGGGACCUGAAUGUACACCUUCCCCAGCCACCCCCAUCCGCAACUCUGGGACGGUCCAGGGGAUGCUCCACUUACCAAAGCAUGAGAGGUACUCCGGCAAUGAAAGCGCGUAUGAAAAGCAAAGCCAAGGAUGGCAGGAAGAGAUCCCACCUUACAACUGGGCUUCGAUUUCAGCGCAACUAACAGGAUUCUGAACCGGCAAAGGCCAAGUGGUGACUUGACUUCCGAGUCAGUGUGGGGAAUUAUCCUAACAGACCCCAGGGUGAGAAGGGCCACUGACAAGCCUAGAGGCCCUUGACGGAAGGGAAGGCUGCAUCCUUUAAGGAAGGACUCCGCAAUAUGGCCAUACGUCUACAUGACACACUUUCUUCCAAGCCUCCCCCCAGAAAGAACUGGAGCCAAUUACUAAAAUGACUAUUCAUUGGGAAGUCAGAUGCCCCAGACAUUGGGGAGCUAUUCGACACUGAUAUUAGUUCUGAGUUGAUGCUAAUCAUUGGGGUACAAAAUACCACUCUGACCGACGAAUUAGAAUGAAGGCUGAUGAAAGUCAUGAUAAAUGGAGUCUUGGCCUCAGCCCAUCUGCACAGCGGAUCCAAUGGAUCUAGUUAUUUCCCCAGUUCUUGAACAUAUAGUUAAAGUAGACGUAUUUAGCAACUGGCUGAAUUCCUUUAUCUGACCCAUUGCUUCCCUGUCUCUUCUUCAGUCUACUCCAUGGUCUCUUUGACCUCGGGACAAGGACGAUCUGGAGAAGAGACACAGAGAUGGGCCUCUUGGCGAUGGACACAGCGUGAAAACAACGACGUCCUACCGAAUGCCCAGGAGAAGGGAUCCCCUGUAUCCCGAGCCACACAAGAGCCAUUCAGGUGUUAGCUGGCCUCUUCCCCAGCCACUCCAGUGGUUGCCCAGUGGGCCAAGUACAAAAUGGCAUAUGCUAUCAGAGAUGAAUGCUACACUCAAACUUAACCGCACGGAUUUCCCUCACCAAAGCUCAUCUGGCUGCCAUCACUGGUGAGUGCCAACCGCAGAAGCCAAUACGGUGCCCCUAACAUGGCACCAUAUCCUGGGGAGACCAGCCAGCCAACUGGUGAUAAACUGAUUUCAGAAGAACCCUUCCUUCUUUGAGAAGAAAAGUGUCCUCGUGGGAAUAGUUCUGUUUCCAGAUUUUCCUCCCCUUCUCCCAAUGCUUCCUCCUGAAUCGUCAUUCAAAGACUUACAAAGACUGUUCCUUUACCACCAUAUCUCAUGUAACAUUUCUUCUAAAAAGGUGAUUUUAUAAUGAAGGGGAUGUGGCAACGGGCUCAAACCACGGAAAUUACUAGUUUUAAAAUACACAUUCUCACUCAGACGUAGGUAGUAAAGGACAGUGGAAUGACAUGACCCUAACACACUGGGGAGAGACAGCUUCCGAGAGUGGAUGCAGAUAUGCUUUAAACCAGCAACCCAUAGGUGACAUUGUUUCCUCCACAGCUGAGACACACACGUAUAGGAAAAAAGAGGUAGAGGUAAAAGUGGCCCCUUCGGUGAGCACAUCUAAUAAUCCAGUUAAGGAAUAUUUGAUUCUUGUCCUCUCAAGUCUUGGUCUUGGCACGUUUAGAAGUCUUUUUUUUUUUUUUUGUCUUUUUAGGGCCGCACCCACAGCAUAUGGAGCUCCGAUUCAACCCCUAGCCUGGGAACCUCCAUAUGCCACAGGAGCGGCCCAAGAAAAUGGCAGAAAGACAAAAAAAAAAAAACCAAAAACACAAACCCCCCAAAAAAACACAAGGGCUGACUGAGUCAAGCCUACACUUGCUACAAAUAAGGACCACAGAGAAGUAUGCAGGAGAGGGUGGGACAGAGUCUUACUAUAAACCCCAUCCCCAGCAAGGAACUCACGCCUAGGAGGAAACUCCUUCUGGAGCUUCUCCUGGAGGAGAAACGAGUUCAAACCCCACACUGGGCACCACAACUUUUAAGACAUACAUUUGAGAGGUGAGCCCCUCUAAUAUCUAAUUUUGAAAUCAGGGCUCAUGUCCCAAGACCCAUAAGAUGGUAGCGGUCUGAGAAAUUGCUCUUAAAGAGUUCAUAUGUUGGGACUCACCUGGCCUAGGGAAGACUUAAAGUGAAGGAGGCUCACCUGCUUAUAUUAAAACCUUGGCGUGACAUAUGAAUGGAUUAAGAAAAUGUGGUACAUACACACAAUGGAAUACUACUCGGCCAUAAAAAAGGACUAAAUGAUGCCAUUUGCAGCAACAUGGAUGCAACUAGAGAUUCUCAUACUAAGUGAAAUCAGAAAGAGACACAUACCAUAUGAUAUCACUUAUAUGUGGAAUCUAAAACUCGGCACAAAUGAUCCUAUUUACAAAACAAACAGAUCACAACAUGGACAGCAGAUUUGUGGUUGCCCGGAAGGAAAGGAGAGGGAGUGAAGGAUGGAGAGUGUGGGGUUGGUAGAUGCAAACUAUUACAUUUAGAAUAGACAAGCAAUGGGGUCCUGCUGUACAGCACAGGAACUCUGUCCAGUCUCUUGGGUUGGAACAUGAUGGAAGAGAGUAUGAAAAAAAAGAAUGUAUGUAUGUGUAUGACUCGGUCAUUUUGCUGUACAGCAGAAAUUGAAGGAAUACUGUAAGUUAUCUAUACUUCAAUACA